AGCUUUAGCAUCUACUUUCGUGAAUACACUAACCACUGUAGUGUAAAAGCUCCUGUCUCUAACACCACAGCCUGCGUAAUUUGUUGACCUGUCUCUGCUGCUGACUUUUUUCUUUUGUUGCCGUGUGGGUAGCAAUAUUUUACUGACUGUCAGACACUUCGUGAACAGCAAGGUAAAGCUGGAGGAGUGGAGGUUCCAGAUGUGGCCAUCUUCCUCCACAAAGGCUUUACUGACUUUCCCUAGCUGGAUAUCCAAGCAGACGCAGGCCCGCAGUUGAACACAAUCCAGUGAAGGACAGAGACUGCUGGAGACUGAGCCUCGGACACUGAAACCUCAGACCCACUCCCACAUAACUGUCCCUUCUCAGUAAGGGCCUUCAAGGGACUCCAGCUGUAAAUCUAGGGCAGGAUAACAGCAGCAGAGGCUGCUACUCAACAAAAAAGAAGAAGAAGAAGAAGAAGAAGAAGAAGAAGAAGAAGAAGAAGAAGAAGAAGAAGAAGAAGAAGAAGAAGAAGAAGAAGAAGAAGAAGAAGAAGAAGAAAGAAAAAAGAAAAAAGAGUAUCAGGUCAUCAACCAAACCCUUCCUCAUUAUAUCAUUAUAUAUACAUGUAUAUCUAUAUACUGUUUUUGGUCAUACUGGGUGUCAAACCUGGGGCCUUCUAUGUCAGAACACAGUCCAGGAAUGGAAUUGUAUGAGAAGAGUUCUGAGUGCUUAAGAGAAAACAAGCCAAGAGUCUUGUGACUUCAGCUUCUUCAAAACACAGAAUUGUUCUUAGAAUGCGUUUUCAUGCUCCUCCAGGUCUGAUAGGACUGAGUUUAUUUCAUUAUUGCUUGCUGUUUAUUCAAUUAAGUGUUUAAACUAUCCCUUAUAUGUCUCUAUGGAAAAACAUGACUUUGC